GGCUGAACACGUCCUUCAAAGGUUCAACCCUUCAUAGCUGAAAGGGAAGACCAAAGGAAGGCCUGUCAUGGGAUUUGAAUUUCUUGUGCGUUUAUGGAGAAGACCAAAAGCUGCAAAGUCAAACACUUCCAAUGCUGAAGACCAAAAACACAAAGAAAAUCAGUCACAGCUAGCCGGUCAAACCAGUCCUGAUGAAUGAGGAAUGAACAUGGCCUUCUUGUGCCCAAACAGAAAGACAGAGAGCUGAAAAGUUGCACAUUUCCACUGGUAUGUCUGUAUUCAAGCAAUGCAGUAAUGUGUGGUACAGCAUUGAUGUUAAUCUCUCAAAAGACAGCAUAGUUACUUCAAGUCAGCAGUUAUAAUUUUUCACAUAUACAUUGUUUAUAGCUCCUAGAAUGAGCAAAUCAGCUGUGCCAUCAUCUUUGGAAUUUGGGCAGGAAAUGACUGAAUAUGGUGAGUACUGACUCCUGCACCUGUAUUCACCAACACGAUUUCUCUAGAGUUAAUGUUGACUUAUUGUUUUGUCUGUUUGUUUAAAGGAAGAUGAAGCCAGUUGAUGAAGAUAUCAAUUCAGUGGCCACCAAGGGCUGCACUGCUGCCUGAACCCAUCAGUUAUCUGCUGUGAAGACUGCAUUCGCAAACAGCUCUACUGUGACAGCUCAGAUGUUACAGCCCAUAAAAGUAAACUUCACAACUGAACAACUGCAAGAUAGUUGUGGAGGGAUUCUUUUGGCCCAUACCUCCAACAACCUCCCAACAAGAAUCAAUGGACAUCUACACCAGGUGAUGUGUGAGGAAAGCACAGAGGACCGUAAGAGACUCCAACC